GACGAACGCUGGCGGCGUGCUUAACACAUGCAAGUCGAGCGGUAAGGCCCUUUCGGGGGUACACGAGCGGCGAACGGGUGAGUAACACGUGGGUGACCUGCCCUCAGCUCUGGGAUAAGCCUGGGAAACUGGGUCUAAUACCGGAUAUGACUCCAUGACGCAUGUUGUGGGGUGGAAAGCCUUGUGCGGCUGAGGAUGGGCCCGCGGCCUAUCAGCUUGUUGGUGGGGUGANGGCCUACCAAGGCGACGACGGGUAGCCGGCCUGAGAGGGCGACCGGCCACACUGGGACUGAGACACGGCCCAGACUCCUACGGGAGGCAGCAGUGGGGAAUCUUGCGCAAUGGGCGAAAGCCUGACGCAGCGACGCCGCGUGAGGGAUGACGGCCUGGUGUAACU
rnacentral:rRNA from 1 species